rnacentral:rRNA from 1 species
AUACGUAGGGGGCGAGCGUUGUCCGGAAUGAUUGGGCGUAAAGGGCGCGUAGGCGGCGCGGUAAGUCUGGAGUGAAAGUCCUGCUUUCAAGGUGGGAAUUGCUUUGGAUACUGCCGCGCUUGAGUGCAGGAGAGGUUAUCGGAAUUCCCGGUGUAGCGGUGAAAUGCGUAGAGAUCGGGAGGAACACCAGUGGCGAAGGCGGGUAACUGGACUGCAACUGACGCUGAGGCGCGAUAGUGUGGGGAGCAAACAGGAUUAGAUACCCUGGUAGUCCACACUGUAAACGAUGAAUGCUAGGUGUAAGAGGUAUCGACCCCUUUUGUGCCGGAGUUAACACAAUAAGCAUUCCGCCUGGGGAGUACGGCCGCAAGGUUGAAACUCAAAUGAAUUGGCGGGG